AGUGAACGCUGGCGGUAGGCCUAACACAUGCAAGUCGAACGGCAGCACAGUAAGAGCUUGCUCUUACGGGUGGCGAGUGGCGGACGGGUGAGGAAUACAUCGGAAUCUACUUUUUCGUGGGGGAUAACGUAGGGAAACUUACGCUAAUACCGCAUACGACCUACGGGUGAAAGCAGGGGAUCUUCGGACCUUGCGCGAUUGAAUGAGCCGAUGUCGGAUUAGCUAGUUGGCGGGGUAAAGGCCCACCAAGGCGACGAUCCGUAGCUGGUCUGAGAGGCUGAUCAGCCACACUGGAACUGAGACACGGUCCAGACUCCUACGGGAGGCAGCAGUGGGGAAUAUUGGACAAUGGGCGCAAGCCUGAUCCAGCCAUACCGCGUGGGUGAAGAAGGCCUUCGGGUUGUAAAGCCCUUUUGUUGGGAAAGAAAAGCAGCAGGUUAAUACCCCACUGUUCUGACGGUACCCAAAGAAUAAGCACCGGCUAACUUCGUG
rnacentral:rRNA from 1 species